ensembl:lncRNA
AGGGUAGCAACCACCAUCAAAAUAUAACAGUCUCACCUCGCAGCUCGCGACUCUCCCCGCCUCCGGCCGGACUGUCACUACCCCGCACUCUCUCCGCUUGAGCUAACGUUAGCGCAGCUAGCACAAGUGUCCCUACAGCGACACAACAGUGCUAAGCUACGCAAACAAGCGAGCAGGCACGGCACGGGUAUCCUGCACUAGCCUGUAGGCAGCAAAGGCUCCGGUGGCCACGAAACUGUCUCAUCGACUUCUUCAGUCAACUCCUAGUGGGCCAGUGUGAGGCAGGUUGGUGAAUAAAUUAUUCCAUUCGCUGACAGAGGCGGCAUGGCGGCGCAUCCGGGCUCCGAGCUGUAGCCCAAGAUGACUGGGGCGGAGAUCUCUGACUGGUGGCUGCGAGGCGGUGAGGAGAACUCCCCUCUACGAUAUUAUAAUGAGCCUCCUACUGCAGAGGUGGAAACCAGGAUCCAUAGUCUCCCAAUCUUUUGUAUUUUGUACCUUAGAAUAAAGGAUAAAGAGAUGCUGUGCUGAGGGUGGUGCUAUAGUAUUUGGGAUUUACUGAAGAUGCUGUCCUCUAAUUAUCCAGAAGGGGGAGACAAAACAUGAUUUUGAUACUAUGCUGAGAGUACACCAUGGACUGCAGAUAUUCACCUUGGUAGGAUUUCUUUUAUAUAAGUGUUAAGUCUAAUUGUUGAAUGUUGCCAUUGUGUUUCUUAAAUUUGUACAGUCUUAGUUCAAGCAGUAGGAUCAAAGCCAUUCCUUUGAUCCUGGCCACCUCUCCAACCACUCUGUGCUGGGGGAGGUUUUAUUGUAGAUACAUCCUAUCUGGAAGAUCUGUUUCUUUUGAUGUAAACUUCCUGGGUUUACGACCCUUUGGUCAGCAGGAGGUCUGACACACACACACACACACACACACACACACACACACACACACACACACACACACACACACACACACUCUUACAGAAGUUCACACAUAUACAUAAAAUGCUUUGUCUUAGAACAAAGGGGGCGUGGCUUUGUUCUGACGUGUUUUGUGUGAACUGUCUCCCAAUAAAAGGUAGCAGGAGGAGGUCAGAUCUGGGGGUCAUUUUCGU